GGGGGUGAGGGAUACAGAAGCUACAUAUUGAGUACAAUGUACAGUAGUCCAGUGAUGGGUGCAAUAAAAUUUCAGACUUUACACCACUAUACAAUUCAUCCAUGUAACCAGAAACCACUUGUACCCCUAAAGCUAUUGAAAUAAAAAGCUAGAUGAGUUCUCCCACCUUUCUCUCCCCACCAAAAUCCUUGCUUUAGAUACAAUAAAAGUAGGCAAUCUGAUCUGUGUUCUAUAUGUGUUAGAUGUGUAUUACUGGUGAAAUAACAAGAGAAAGCAAGAUAUUUGACCAGUAAAAAGACUAGGAGGCAAGAUAUAUCUAAUAUAUCAAGCAAACCUUUUGCCAUGUGACUGAAAGCAAAUACACUUCCUAAGACUUCAGUAGUUUUUGGUUAUCCUAUCUGUAAAAUUGGUCAAUAACCUUCAGAACAGAAGUCUGGUCCAGAUUAUCUCUAUAUAUCUUUUCCAGAUCACUAAUCUUUGAAUCCAGUUGUGCUUCAACCAAAGAGAUGUUCUCCUGAAAAUGUUUUUUAUUAAGUAAAUCACUUUCUCAUUUAUUAGUUUCUAAGUUAUUACCAAUGUAACGUUUUGAGGCUGGGCACGGUGGCUCAUGCCUGUAAUGCCAGCGCUUUGGGAGGCCGAGGCGGGAGGAUCACUUGAGGUCAGGAGUUUGAGAACAGCCUGGCCAACAUGGCAAAACCCCGUCUCUAUUAAAAGAACAAAAGUUAGCCGGGUGUGGUGGCACAUGUCUGUGAUUCCAGCUACUCAGGAGGCUGAGGCAUGAGAAUCGCUUGAACCUGGGAGGCGGAGGUUGCAGUGAGCUGAGAUUGUGCCACUGCACUCCAGCCUGGGCUGCACAGUGAGACUCCGUCUCAAAACAACAAAAAUAACAUUUGAUACCAAUCAGAAUGGAAUUCUUUUUUGUUAAGAUUUCUCUUGGCCCCUGAUUGUUCAUUAGAUGUCAAAUAUUGUGAAAACAUUUGAUGCAAGGACCUGGGUCACAGUGAACAAUGUCCAAGGGUAUCAAUGAUAAGUUUUUCCUACUGUUUUUGUUCCAGUUCAGAUACUGCUUUAUGUCUUCACUCCUUUGGGUUUUUUGCCCCCUUUUUUUUUCUGAAUCCAGCCCCUCCCUUUGGAGGGCUGAAUUUCUUCUUUACUUAUCUUGCCUUUCAUCAAGUAGAUCCAUAUGGAGAGAUGAAAGCCAUUAGUCUUAUCCCAUGAUUCCACAUAAUGUGAAUGAGGCCAGGCAUUGGUGCUCGUGCCUGUAGUCCCAGCACUUUGGGAGACUGAGGUGGAAGAAUUGCUUUAACCCAGGAGUUUGAGACCAGCCUGGGCCACAUGUGGGACCCCACCCUGUCUACAAAAAUCAAAAUUAGCCAGUUGUGGUGUGCACCUGUGGUCCCAGCUGUCUGGGGAGGAUGAAGCAGGAGGAUCCUUUGAGCCUGGGAAGUCGUGGCUGCAGUGAGCCAUGAUUGCACCACUGCACUCCAUUCUGGGUGACAGAGAGAGGCCCUGUCUCAAAAAAAAAAAGAAAAGAAAAAAAAA
rnacentral:lncRNA from 1 species